AAUCAACGCUGGCGGCGUGCCUCAGACAUGCAAGUCGAACGAGAAGUCCCCUUCGGGGGAUGGACAGUGGCGCACGGGUGAGUAACACGUGGGUAAUUUACCUUUGGGUGGGGAACAACAGCCGGAAACGGCUGCUAAUACCGCAUAAUGCAGCGGCUCGACAUCGAGACAGUUGUUAAAGCGGGGGAUCGCAAGACCUCGCGCCUGAAGAGAAGCCUGCGGCAGAUAGCUUGUUGGUGAGGUAAUGGCUCACCAAGGCGACGAUCUGUAACCGGCCUGAGAGGGCGGUCGGUCACACUGACACUGACAUACGGGUCAGAC
rnacentral:rRNA from 1 species